ensembl:lncRNA
GAAAUGAUUUUAUUAGUGUGUGCACUUAAUUCUGAUAAAUGAUUGCCUGUGUCCUCCAAGAUGACACAAAAUGAUACCGUGUUGUACGACAAGCAAAAAAUGUGGAUCUAAUCAAAUUUCUGGGGGUUGUCACAACAUUUGUUCAAAUAAACACAGUGUAGGGCUAUAAUCUAUCAUGCAUCUCGUGGCACAUUGCCAUACCCCAUCACCCUCCUUUUCUGUCACCUUUAGGCAAAUCAAAUGAUACUCUUUUAAAGAAACAGGUAUUCAUUUAUGUAACUGGUUUCUGGUCUCCAUUAGGUCUGAAUUUGAGCAGCAAUUGUGUUUCUGUGGGCUGUGUUUUACACCUGGGCCCGAAGUCAAUUCAUUAUCUGCAGUUCAGAGCACGAGAAUUAAUCGCAGCUUGGAGGCAGCCCUACAAUGGGUGAAGGAACUGAAUCCAUGGGCACUGCGGCUGCCCUCCUGGUGCUGAGCUUCUGACAAGCAGCAGUUUCCCUCUAUUCCUUGUUAGUUAAGUAACACCGAUGCUUCCAGCAGUUUGAUGGGGUGAGGAGGUCCUCAGCCUUUGGAUCCCCUAAUUGGGAGGAGGCAUUGCUCCCGCAUAAUGGCACACAUUGCACUGCUCCCAUGGGCACACUCCAGUCAGCACUGGCAUUUUGGGGAAUUACUCCCUUAUUUUUAACUGUUUUCCUCUCUCUCUCCAUUCCAACUGCAGAUGCCUCUUCUGCCCUGCCUCGUGUUGGAAGAGCCCCUCAUAUCUGUGCCUGCCUCUUCUCCAUGGUGGUUUUAACACCAGGACUGCCACACCGCUCUGGCUGAGGCAACAAGGAAGGCCACAGCCUAACUGUAUUUUAAAUAACCACGUAAUGCUUCAGUAUCUCAACUACUUCUUGUGAAGCAGCUUCUAUCAUAUCUGAAAGAUGAGUUAUAAUUUGGGGAUUGGCCUUGGUGAUCUCCAGAGGUCCCUUUCAACCCUUAUGGUUCUGUGAUUAUCAGUCGUGGGUAAGCAGAACUGGCAGCUGAAUGAGGUACUGGGGCUUAAAUGAUGCACUGAGCUUGGGAAUGGUCUGAGGGCUGGUACACCUCUACAGCAGUGCUUUCUAUUUGUGUUCUUCAAGCACGUUUUUGCUGGAGAACACACAGGGCCACACAGUGAUGGAUGGGGCGUGCUGUCAUUUUGAGUCACCGGCAUUUUGGGAUGGAAUAGGAAAGCUCCUUAAAAGCAGCCAGUGUCACAUUUGCAGCUUCAUUUUCAUGGGCGAAUAUUGCUUUGAGACUAAUGUAAGCUCUAUGUAUUAUUUGGUACUGAAAGUGUGCUAUGGAAUUUCAUUUCAAAGUACUCUCAGGGUCAUUUAUGCACAUAUAAUGGGUGGAUAAGUCAAACAAAGAGCCCUUCUCUGCCACUCUGGGCACCAGGUCACGCUGAGGCAUCCAUGCUGGGAGCCAGAAUAGAUACCAGCACAAGUUUGCUGCUUCACUAUCCUGCUUUCUGCUCCCAAUACCCAUCUGCUCAGCUCUGCUUCUGCAGAGCACGGAGGCAGUGGCUGAGGUUUGUGAUACUGAGGAGGAGGGGAAGGUGGCGCAGUCAAUGGUGAGGGCUGAUGUGUUCUGGGGGCAGCUGGUAGGAAGCUGGCAUCAGUGUGCUCUGUGAGCCCACCCUGAGCUGGCAUUCCAUUGAGAGCCUUUUUAGAGGCUGUGUGUUGUUUUGUCUAAUAGAAAACAAGCUUUGCAAAUGAGCUGCUGAGCACUUUAGCAGGGGGUAUUUUUUUUUUUUGCAUGUUUGCAAUAUUCAGUUCAGGCAUUGACAGCUGUGAACUUCACAAUGAGACUGACACUUGAGAUCUGUGUAAAGGUCAAUUUUUUAAUUGUGCCUUAUAGAUAAAAGAAAUAUCUACAUCAAUAUAGUCUAAUCGCAUUGAUUUCAGCACGGAGUUUUCAAUUAUUAUUCAGAAUUCUCUGUUAUCUCGUUGCAGUCCCACAGCCUUAGCAGGCAGUGCAAUGCUCCAUGAGAUAACCUUUAACUCAUGCUGCUGGGUCAAAAGUGAGUUGUGAUGAGUACUCCCUGCCAUUCCACAGUGAACUGUCUGGGUAAGGAAGGCAUCUGUUGCUGCAGUGCAGAUCACGAUGCACUGAGGAUGCCUUCAGUUCUGAUACGGUAUAUUGGCUGUUUGCAGGUCUGCUGGUGCACAAGAUCUCGAGCCAAGAUCUCUUCCAUGCAGGAAGCUGCACUGCAGGGCAGUGGGAGGAAUGGCUGUGAUUAUCCCAUUACAAAGAGAAGGAUGUCUUAACAUUGGAAUCAUUGCUCGUGUUUUAGAGUGACCUUGUAAAGUAUGGUUCAUCACAGGGGGAUCGAUACUAAAUAAUAAUGCUUCUGCUUAGUUCCAGUAAAUACCUUGGGUUUAUCUAGGAGGUAUCACUCAGCUGUUUCCAACAGCUUCUACGUGAUCAGCUGAAGCCAAAACACAUCUGCUUCUCAUAGGUGUGCCUGUAGGACUCUGCUGUUAGUGGUGUUCAGGGUAGCCAGAGGUACUCCCUGUUGUCUCAGUAGGAAACCUUUCAGUGUAUGAAGGACAAUGUUUCCAUGAAAAUAUCAAUACAAUGGUGGGCACACCUCCAUUGACAGUUCACAGCCCAGUAUUUCCUCCGGGCUGUUGGAGUGUGGUAUAACGUCAAAGGUCUGCCUGUCCCUUGCUGGACAUGGGAUGGAGGUGCUUGGGGCUGCUAUGGGCUGGGCAGCCCAACAUCAUGUAUGUAUAUAUGGCCAGGCAGGAUGUGGCUCUGGGCAGCCUGGUCUGGUGGUUGGUGACCCUGCACGUAGCAGGGGGUUGGAACUGGACGAUCUUUGAGAUCUUUUUCAACCCAGGCCAUUCUAUGAUUCAUUCUUUGAUUCUGUAUAAACAUUAAUACAUACAUGUAUAAAAUAUUAUCACUCUGCAGCUGCAUUUGACGAUCAUCACAGAGCUUGUAUGCAUUCUAAUAAAUUCAUCAAAGGAAAAGAUCAGGCAGGUGCCAAGUGCUGCAAAAUGACCUGGACAAAGAAUGCAGAGGGUUUAGGAGUGCUUUGCAUAAAUAGGAGAAUUAUGUGCUUCACGGAGCAAGCAGUGUUCAGGUUUAAAGACACAGAUGUGUGACAGGCAUUCAGACAGUAAAUUCUGCACCUCCAGUGAUUCUGUGAUAGAAAUGUGUGCCUAUACCUCUGUAUAAUCUGCAACAAUCGAUAAAAUCAAGCAGGUUUUUUAUGAAAACAGUUUUAUUGGAAACUUUUUUAACAGUUUAAGACUCUCUCUUGUAAGUAACUGUCCCUGGACUACUGAGGUGGGUGGAGGGCUCCAUCCCCUCCUGGCAGCCCAGGGCUGAGCCCAUAUCCCUUUCAGGACCUGGCUGCAGCACCUGCUCGCUGCUUGGCAGCCUGACAUGCUUUCUGGUUUGUCCCUUUGGAUAGUGAUACGCUGAUUCAAGCUGUACAGGAGAAACCAACAACUCAACUCUGUAUUGUGAUGAGACUCUCAGUGCUGUAUGGGCAGAAUGGGGAAGCAUUCAAGCGCAUUUCCUUUCUCAGCACGUGGGAUACAGGAGGGCAGCAAAGCGUCAGCUGUGAUGAACCACUCAUGUAUCCUUCUUGUAUCUGCAGGUCAGCUGCUGUUUAUGUUCGUUAGUAAAUUAUGUGCCAACCUCAUCACGUCACCCUGCAAUCACAGUGCUGUGUUCCAUGUGUUCAACCUCCAUACAUUUGUGUUUAUAUUGAGCUAUUGCAUCCUGCUCAGGGGUGAGGGCACCUCUCUGCUGCUGCACAAAUUGGAGAACUUCUGCUUCACCAAAGCUCAUAAUGCCUUCAAGGCAUCGGUUCCUCUCAUAGCAUUUCCCAAUCAAAGUAUUAAAAUGAGAGUUUUAUAUCCAGCCAAUACUCUUCUCAUAGCUGAUAAAGGCAAAUGAGGAAUCAUUUAUAUGAUUUAGGUUAUGAGAAGAGUAUAGGAAGAGAAUAUAAGCAAAGCAUUUAUUUCCCACCUGUAUAGAAAUGAAGCUGCUGUUUCUAAUAAAUCCUACUUGAAAAGAUGGCACUGUUAUGAAAGAACGGAGAGAGAGACCUGAGGCUUUACCUUCGUGCUGCUCCAGCCCCCAGGAGUUCAAGUGGGUUUUCUCUUUCCCAGCCCUUGAAUCAGCAGGCAGAAACUGUGGGUGCUGGCUGAAAGGGGGAGGAUGCUCUGAAGUGAGAUGUAGCUGCACCACAGCCUGGAGGCAGAAGGAGGGCUGUGUGUGCUCAGGGCUGCUGGGGGGGGGGAGGGUGGUUUGGAAAGCAAAACGAUCCUAUUCAACAAUAGAGGAGAAAUUAGGAGCUUGAAAAUAGCAGCAAAUUGGAAUGAAAAGAAUGCCAAUUACCAACUUUGAUCCCUCUUUUCUUUAUUUUUGUUUGAAAGAAAUAUUUUGUGAUAGACACAUCUUGAAGUUUUCCACUUUUCUUUUGUUUUAAGCAGUGGGAGAUUUGGUAAACCUGUCCUUUAUCCUGCAAAUUCCCACCCUGAACCCUUUGUCCUAAAACUUCUGACUAAUUUCUAGGUAUUUUGAAUACUUAAGUUUGAGAAGACGUGGGAACUGACGACUUCUGUCCUCCGAGGAGAUGGCAUGAAUUACUGCAAUUGGAAAAUAAUUAAGAAGCAAUUACAGAAACAAACAGAAAUCCUGUGCGUACAGCCAGGCCAUUAAAAUAUGUUCUCUAAGAAAUUACCACAGCCACGCUGGAAAGAAAAGCAACAUUUAAAUAAAGUUAUGGUUAUAACAAACUAAAAAGGAAGAAAAAACCAAAGCAAUUCGUGCUGGAAAGAGUAAGUACUCAUCUGCCCCCCCCCCACACACUGUCAAUCUAUGCUAGUUUCUCUUUCCAUAAUUUUCUUAUGCAGAGUAAUAGUUGUACAUUUUGCACUCCUUUUUCUUACUUUGUUUUUCAGCAAGCAUGGGCUGCUAUGUGACUGUGCUGCAAACGGGAGUGUGUGCAAGUGGGACACGAGGGGGGAACAGCUUCAUGCCUCCCUUCUCCAGCAAGCAGCUGCUUGCAGAGUGUGCAGGAGACUGCAUAUGAGCCCAGCAUCAGUCCUGCAGGAGUCAGCAGCCAGGCACAGACUGGCUCCUGGUGCUGCCUGAUGGAGAGUGGCCGCUGGGUGGAAGGAGCUGCUGUUCCCUCCUUUGGACCCAGAGUAACUUUUAAAUCAUUCUGGGAAGAAAGGAAUGGCAUAUUUGGUGUCUCAGAUGUUCCUUGAGCAGUACGACCUGCGCAGAAGUGACGUAUAGUGGACACAAAACAGCUCCUCAAUUAGGGAGACGUAGGGGCAGAAUCACAUCUCCCCAGCAGAACUCAAGAAGUCCUUCUUAGCACUACCACUGCGCAACCGAAGGUAUUUGAUCUGAAGUAUGAAGAAUGAUUUAAUCAGACAGAUUAACCUACCUGGUGCAUCUGAAACACUUCCAUUCCAUCGAAGUCCAUCAACAACAUAGGCUUUAAGUGGAGUUUUAAAAAGUUUAUGAGAAGAAUAUGGAAGGAAUAAGGAGAGUGACAAUUCAGCACGUUUUAGCUCACGUGCUUCUGCAGCAGAAGGUACAGCACUGGGAAGGGGGGCACUGCUGUGACUGACCCCUCCACAGGACCUGGCCACCCCAGAGCAUAUUUUCAAGGACUAAUUUCAAGUGUAUACGUUAUAAAUCUGCAAACUAUCUCUGUGAGCCGUGCAUGCUUUACAUCCCUUCAAUCCCAUUGCCUAAUAUUAGUGAAAGUGACAAGACAUUAACUGCAUAUUAAUUGAAUUUUUCACGGAUGAUUAAAAUACAGAAACUGUGCAACAGAUUUCUCCUUUGAGGUGUAAUAAAAGUGAAGGGGAAAUGAAUAAAUUGCCUAUUUUAGAGAUUUUAUAUAUAGUGCAAAUAGACAUUUUCCUUUUAGACAUCUCACCAGGAAGAAAGCAUUUGUUGCAGGGAGCAAGAAGAUGUACUGCUGUCUGAGUGUGACACUCAGCAUGCAGUGACAUGGGCAGACUCUGGUCCCAGGCAGGAGCACAGCCCAUGGGUUUCCAGGGGGCAGGAGCAGGUACUGAGCACAGGAAUCACUGCUCCCAGCAAUGCAGAGUCACUGAAGUCAGGUAACAUCCUCCGUCCUUAAAAAAGAAGUUGUGGAUGCCCCAUCCCUGCAGGCAUUCAAGGCCAGGCUGGAUGUGGCUCUGGGCAGCCUGGUCUGCUGGUUGGCGACCCUGCACAUAGCAGGGGGUUGGAACUGGAUGAGCAUUGUGGUCCUUUUCAACCCAGGACAUU